rnacentral:misc_RNA from 1 species
AGCAUGAAACCGGUCUCUCCCCAGAUGGCGUAUUCGAGUGUUGCGAUCGCGAAUAAAAAAUAAAUAAUGAAUUUGAUUGCAAUUGCCAGCAGAAAUUGUCUAUACUCGCACAGUAUCUUUCAUAUUUCAAAAAUGUUAAAACUUUUUUCAUGCUCUUAAGAAAACAACCGUAUAUUUAUUUUUAAACUAUAUCUUAAACUAUAGGUAUUAUAAUUACAUUAAAACAUAAAACAAACCUCACAGUGAAAUUAAAGGAGUUUUAAAGAAAACAUACCUAUAAUUGCUAGUUUAUACACUAAGCGACCACAUUUUUUGUGUCCAUCUGUUCCAUAAAUGAGAUAUCAAACCAUAAUGCAUUGGACCACUAGAGGGCUAAUGUAGUGCUGACAUACUUUAAGACCUUCAUUUCCUAUUCAAGGCCUCAUUAAAUAAAUAUUAUUAUUGAUCAAGUGUAUCCUGUAAAGCUGAUAACUCAUUUCAAGGGUAAGGAGUAUUUUCAAUAAGAUAAUGCUUCUUGCCAUAUUGCUCCUAUUGUAAAGAAUCAAUUCAAAGAGCAUGAUGGAUAUUUUAGUUUUUCUCUGCUGCCCAUAAUUCUCAGACCUCAAUCCAAGCAAUCAUUUAUGGGUUAAAGUUGGAAUAGCCAUCCAUCAUCAUGACAUGCAAUUAUGUAGUCUCUAACUAUCAAGAAGCACAAUGAAUGUACCACAUGUGACUUUUCUCCAUAAAGGACAAGGAGAACUCCAGACAUCAAUCUCGCCGUUGGUGGAUGCCAUGGUUGGGUGUGAGGUCAAUAGUUUUGUUUUGAUCUUUGCACAGGUCAGCGAGAGAAAACCAAUCGACACCUUCAUUCCUCCAUUAGAAAUGUGCUCUCACUUAUUACCAUAGUAGCAGAAAGCCCAUACUUCUAGUCUGGAGGAGUUCUCUUCAAUGCUGCACAAUAAAAAGGUUAUCAAUGUACAAAUUUGUUGGUCAACUUGUCUAGCUCCUUACUUGAAAG